CCCAGAACAGGCAAAAUGUUCACUUCCGUUCUCAGAAUGUUUAAAAAAACGUUCAGUUUUACUGCUCAGGACGAAUGGGGAAACCUAAAAGUGGAUGGUUGCCACAGGGAUGGAUGUAAUCCAGGAGGUUCCUGUUGCCGUGGUCUCAACGUAGCGGUGGAUCGCCACGUAGAAAACUCUGAAGGCCUUGAUCACCUCAAAGGGCUGAAAAGACAGUUGGCGGGGAGCUCACCUUGACUGACAGUUCUUUGAAAUGUCAAGCAAUGACGCAAUAAGAUCAUCUCAAGAAAAUUUGUUCAUACAAAAAUAACGCAAACAUUAAAAUUGUAUUAAACAU